UACGUCCUACGGGAGAAAGUGGGGGAUCUUCGGACCUCACGCUAUUAGAUGAGCCUAGGUCGGAUUAGCUAGUUGGUGAGGUAAUGGCUCACCAAGGCGACGAUCCGUAACUGGUCUGAGAGGAUGAUCAGUCACACUGGAACUGAGACACGGUCCANACUCCUACGGGAGGCAGCAGUGGGGAAUAUUGGACAAUGGGCGAAAGCCUGAUCCAGCCAUGCCGCGUGUGUGAAGAAGGUCUUCGGAUUGUAAAGCACUUUAAGUUGGGAGGAAGGGCAGUUACCUAAUACGUGAUUGUUUUGACGUUACCGACAGAAUANNCACCGGCUAACUCUGUGCCAGCAGCCGCGGUAAUACAGAGGGUGCAAGCGUUAAUCGGAAUUACUGGGCGUAAAGCGCGCGUAGGUGGUUUGUUAAGUUGGAUGUGAAAGCCCCGGGCUCAACCUGGGAACUGCAUCCAAAACUGGC
rnacentral:rRNA from 1 species